rnacentral:rRNA from 1 species
ACUGACGCUGAGAUGCGAAAGCGUGGGGAGCAACAGGAUUAGAUACCCUGGUAGUCCACGCUGUAAACGAUGUCGAUUUGGAGUUUGUUGCCUAGAGUGAUGGGCUCCGAAGCUAACGCGAUAAAUCGACCGCCUGGGGAGUACGGCCGCAAGGUUAAAACUCAAAUGAAUUGACGGGGGCCCGCACAAGCGGUGGAGCAUGUGGUUUAAUUCGAUGCAACGCGAAGAACCUUACCUGGUCUUGACAUCCAUAGAAUUCUGCAGAGAUGUGGGAGUGCCUUCGGGAACUAUGAGACAGGUGCUGCAUGGCUGUCGUCAGCUCGUGUUGUGAAAUGUUGGGUUAAGUCCCGCAACGAGCGCAACCCUUAUUCUUUGUUGCCAGCGAUUUGGUCGGGAACUCAAAGGAGACUGCCGUUGAUAAAGCGGAGGAAGGUGGGGACGACGUCAAGUCAUCAUGGCCCUUACGACCAGGGCUACACACGUGCUACAAUGGCGUAUACAAAGGGAAGCGAAGGUGCGAGCUGGAGCGGAUCUCAUAAAGUACGUCUAAGUUCGGAUUGGAGUCUGCAACUCGACUCCAUGAAGUCGGAAUCGCUAGUAAUCGUAGAUCAGAAUGCUACGGUGAAUACGUUCCCGGGCCUUGUACACACCGCCCGUCACACCAUGGGAGUGGGUUGCACCAGAAGUAGAUAGCUUAACCGCGAGGGGGGCGUUUACCACGGUGUGAUUCAUGACUGGGGUGAAGUCGUAACAAGGUAACCA